rnacentral:tRNA from 2 species
UGUAAAAUAAGCUAAAUUCUAAGCUAUUGGGUUCAUACCCCAAAUAUGAAUGUUUAAUUCUUUUACAA